rnacentral:lncRNA from 1 species
UUAAUUCCACAUUGAAGAACGUAGUUUGCACCGGGUAUUUCAUUUAGGUUUCUAUUUAUUAAUUCUACUCAUUAGGAUCAUGCACAUCUUCAGAAUAGUAGACAAUAUCCAGAUGGCAGCCAGACCAAGGACUAAAUUUGCAACUGAACAGCGACACCACCAGAUCAGGAUAUGAGAUAAUAGACAACCACAAGGAUAUCAAUUAUGGUGAUUACAGGUAUUGAAAACUCUUACUAGCAGCA